ACUUUCUUAGUAUAUAAGUAUAUUUAACUUCCAAUUAAAAGGACUAAAAAAUUUAGAGAAAGUA
rnacentral:tRNA from 1 species